rnacentral:rRNA from 1 species
ACGCUCGACACCUACGGGACGCAGCAGUCGGGAAUAUUGCGCAAUGGAGGAAACUCUGACGCAGUGACGCCGCGUAUAGGAAGAAGGUUUUCGGAUUGUAAACUAUUGUCGUUAGGGAAGAGAAAGGACAGUACCUAAGGAGGAAGCUCCGGCUAACUACGUGCCAACAGCCGCCGGUAAGUACUCGAGGACGGGCGGUGGCGAAGGACG